CUAAGGACAAUAGAAACAGUUUGUAAAACCACACUGGAGCGUACACUUCCUCCGGAUGUGUAAGAGGAUGCCAUGCAUAACAAAGCCCGCAGUGUCUGCCUGUCUGCUGCCUGCCCCGUACGUUCACAUCGGCCGGAGAGGAGACAGAAAAGCGCUACAACAGGAGAGAGGGAGUGUUGUUGACAGAGGAGGGCAACAGCGUAGAGUCGCCGCCGUCUGGUGAUUGAUGUCAGAGACCUGGCACCGCCACCUGAUCUGGCUGGCCAGCGAGAGCGAACCCGCUGAACUGGCCCGGCCAAAAUGGCCGCCUCGCUGCAAUGCACCCGCUGAACCUCCCCACAGCGCAGUCUGAUAUUUACAACUGCGACGGUACAGCUCCCCAAGGGAUGAAACCACCCAGGGAGAGGGAGAAGGAUGCGGCAAGGGUACGCAAUGGUGGAUUGAACGCUUUGUAUACAUCCAAGGGUGAAUCCAGGGAAGAAUAGUCUCGGUAACGGCGGCUGACUGCGAACCCGGAUGUCUCGUUCGGCCCCACAGAAGGUAUACUCGACAGCCGGGGCGGACAUGAACCUGAGCUUCGGACUUCUCCACCGGGCCAAAGUAGCUUUGUAACUUGCGUUGGCGGAGAGCAGGGGGCAACAUCUCUGCGGCGUCCUUUACGAGCAGGACUUGUGGCUCGCCGCCCGCCGUCCUUCAGACUUUACAGCAUCCAUCCGUCCAAGUUCUCAUAAAGGUCACAGAGCUCUUUCUUUGAAGCAAUGCAUCCCACUCAGCUUGAAUGACGAGAGGAAGGAAGGAAGUCAACAGCGGGCUCUGAAAAGCUCGGUCGUCUGAGGACACGCUGUACUGUGUACCCUGCCUGGGGCGAUGUUCCUCACCACUUCUUUGUUUCCGGGAGGGAUUUUAAUGUGAUGGAUGAGGACUUUUUACACAAUCAUCCAAGAAAAAAAAGAUAAUCAAAGUGAUGUCAUUUUUCCAACGUUUCUAGCAAAUCAUUUUUGAUUGGCAUAGCAGAAGGGUAUAUGUUAGUUGUGAUGAGAGGAAGAAAUGUUGACAUUAAGGCAAGGAUGUUCGUUACAUGACAAGCUGGCAUUUACACAAAUGCUCAAUAAAAGCUAUUUCAAAACGAAUCAAUGUGUUUCUGAAAAUGACAUGGAUACCCCAAGCGCCCCAAGCGUCAGCACAAAUCAUGGCUGACAUUUUUUUACAUUGAACGGGAAUCACUUGGUUUCAAUCAAUUAGGUCCUCGCACCCAAAGUCAUCAGUCAUACUACACGACGACGUCAACUCAACUUAACUCAACUUUAUUUAUCAAGCACAAACGUAGCUGGAGCAGAGAUGAAAUUGACCUCAUUACUGGUGACGCAAAGCCAACACGACCAGCACUUGAUCAAAGUGGCUGCAUGUUCAAUGAAGCUUUGCAAAACACAAGACAUCAAAACUGUCUACGCUCGCUUGAAGGAGGUUAAAGGAGAAGACACAGAAGGACUUUGAAACAGCAAGCCGUGCCUUCAUCACAUCUUGGCUGGAUUAGUGUCAGCCGGUCCUCCCUCAAACAUCUCCAUGGAGCUCCACCCUAUUUAUUAAGUGGCUCUGGCUGGACUAAAUGUAAACAAUGAUAUGAGUCACAGGAAGGUGAUAGAGAUAGUUAAGACCAGCAGCGUAAGCAGUAACUCAUCCUAAAACGGCUUUGUGUGGACUUGGCAAAAACGCAACUGCCUCGGUAUGACAACAACCAGCGGGCUCCCUCGCCACCCAAGUGAGAAACGUCAAGUGUGCAACCUCGGCCGACUGUCUGCUGGAGUGACAGCCGUGGGACGCCCCACAGGAAAAAUAUUUCGACCCGACUCGGACGACUGUCACAGCCGCUGCCCGCCGUGUAUGCGGACGACGGGAGCUUAGAGCGCAUCAGAGGCAUAGGCAUCGUGAACAUUGUUUGCUAGGAAAAAAUGAACCAUAAUAAAAUGAAUGUGAGCUAUAGUUGGGGAAAAUUGAGCUAUUUAAGUGACAGUUGUUUUUGUAAAAUAAAGGCUUACUCGACCACACCAAACCAGUGAAGAAACCGGUCAUGGUUUCAGCAUUGGGGAAAUUUAUCGGUGCCCUCUGCAUGAAAUUUACGAUGAUGUCAUUAUAAAUCUCUGCGGGUCGUAAAUGGUCUCUAUAAAAUGAUGAUUAAGAUGUGUGACCUGCAACUUUAACACUGUCUCUGGAAAAAAAGAAAGCAGAGUGCAAAAUUGUCACUAGAUCUGUUUAACGUCAACACAAGUGUCAACAUGGUUGCUGCUUGAUGAAAACAAAUGCCGUCUAUGUUUUAAUAAACAAGCUGCCGGGCAA